GCCGCAGUAGCUUAACUGGUAUAGAGCAUCGCACGUGUAAUGCGAAGAUGUGGGUUCGUGCCCCACCUGCGGCC